rnacentral:lncRNA from 1 species
GAGGGGUGUUGUGUUGGAGAAUAGAACUCACUUGCUCAGUUAGGAAGACCUUUUCAGGCACAUGUGUCCUAGAUUUUCGCUUUUGAGUACAAAGGUCUUUGAGAAAUUUGGCAUAGGAGGGAACUUGUCUAAUAGCAUCAAGAAGCGGGAGGUUGAUUUUGACUUGUUUGAAAACCUCCAUCAUCUCCUCUAGUGAAGUUCCCUUUUUGCCAAAGGGAGAGGGUGAAUUAAG